rnacentral:sRNA from 2 species
GCCUAUGUGUCUGCUUUCCUUUGUUGCCAAUGGGCUCAUGGCAGCGGUAAUGGAAUUAUGCCGAAUAUCUUGGUAAACCCCCUUCUCGUGUGGAGAAACAUAUACCGUGGACACCACGUUUGGGAGCAACCGUGGUACUCAACCCAUCUUGGGUGGAUUUGGUCGAAGGCCGCUCGGCCAUCUCAGCCGAGGUCAGUAAAAAAAAAAGGGUCCAUCUUCCUGGCGGAGUGGUGAGUAUAGAUAGGCAACUGAGCUACUCCAAUCACUUUUAUAGAGGGCUUUGCCAGCCGUCCUAGCUCCGUCCUUCAGGAUGAGAUGCGGAGAUGAGCCGGCAAUGCCCCUGACGAACAACGCGGAGAAGAUGCUUGUUGAUAGGGGUUUCGGUUGGCUCAAGCCACGGCAACGGCAUCAGAGUAUUCAGCAACUAGUGCCCGCCGAGUUGGUCGGCUUCCCCAAGAGUCAAUCCUGAGCUAAUAAAAAUGA